GUUAUGAGUUGAUGAAUCACUAAAACGAUUUUGGAAACAUUAUUUUAAGGUUGAACAAGUUCUCUAGUGUGGCUUUAUCUAGUUCAAAACAGUUUACAG